rnacentral:lncRNA from 1 species
GCCCUUGUGAUAAAAAUAAAAUAAAAUAGACGGAAAAUAUUUAGCUUUGGGUUUACAUAGUCAACACGAGUUUUGGGCCUACAUUGGCAGCUACCUAAUGUACAAACUUUUGCCCAAUCAUCUUUUCAAGAUGCAUUACUUUUUCUUGCUUUUCACUUCUCAUUUUUGCUCAUGUGAAUGUGAACCGUGAUUAAGUAAAAGAUGAAGAAAUUUCAUUGCAACUGUAAGUGAUCAAACGGUGAUAUUUCCUUUACUUUUCAAGAUGCCUUUUU